GAUGUCAGCGGCGGACGGGGGAGUAAUGCCUAGGAAUCUGCCGGGUAGUGGGGGACAACGUUUCGAAAGGAACGCUAACUACCGCAUACGUCCUACGGGUAGAAAGCAGGGGACCUUCGGGCCUUGCGCUAUAAGAUGAGCCUAUGUCGGAUUAGCUNUCCUGGUGGGGUAAUGGCUCACCAAGGCGACGAUCCGUAGCUGGUCUGAGAGGAUGAUCGCCCACACGGGAACUGAGACUCGGCCCAGACUCCUACUGGAUGCAGCAUGGGGCGAAUAUUGGACAAUGGGCGAAACCCUGAUCCAGCNUGCCGCGUGUGUGAAGAAGGUCUUCCGAUUGUAAACCACUUUAAGCUGGGAGGAAGGGCAGCAAACUAAUACCUUGCUGUUUUGACGUUACCGACACAAUAAGCACCGGUUAACUCUGUGCCAGCACCCUCGGUAAUACAGACGGUGCAAGCGUUAAUCGGAAUUACUGGGCGUAAAGCUCGCCUACGUGGUUUGUUAAGCCCGGAUGUGAAACCCCCGGGCUCAACCUGGGAACUGCAUCCCNNNCUGGCAAGCUAUAGUACCGUAGAGGGUGGCGGAAUUUCCUGUGGAUUGGUGAAAUGCGUAGAUAUAGGAAGGAACACCAGAGGCCAAGGCGACCACCUGGACUGAUACUGACACUGAUGCGCCAUAGCGUGGGGAGCAAACAGGAUUAGAUACCCUGGUACUCCACGCCCCANCGAUGUCUACUACNUCUUGGAAUCCUUGAGAUUUACUGNCGCCUCUAACGCAUUNUUCGACCCCUGGGAANCGGCNNCAGGUAAACUCAAUGAUUGAUGGGCCACAAACANUNAACAUGUGUNUNUUCGAAUACGAUAACACUUACACGCCUGNAUGCGAUACUUUCCGANAUGAA
rnacentral:rRNA from 1 species